GACGUAGGAUGCAAGCGUUGUUCGGAAUUACUGGGCGUAAAGCGCACGUAGGCGGGUUGUUAAGUCAGGGGUGAAAUCCUGGAGCUCAACUCCAGAACUGCCUUUGAUACUGGCAACCUAGAGACUGGAAGAGGUUAGUGGAAUUCCCAGUGUAGAGGUGAAAUUCGUAGAUAUUGGGAAGAACACCAGUGGCGAAGGCGGCUAACUGGUCCAGCACUGACGCUGAGGUGCGAAAGCGUGGGGAGCAAACAGG
rnacentral:rRNA from 1 species